AAAAAAAUAAGCUAAUAAGCUAAUAGGUUCAUACCCUGUAAAUGAAAAUUUUAACUUUUCUUUUUUUA
rnacentral:tRNA from 1 species